rnacentral:rRNA from 1 species
UACGUAGGGUGCAAGCGUUGUCCGGAAUUAUUGGGCGUAAAGGGCUCGUAGGCGGUUUGUCGCGUCGGGCGUGAAAUCCACUGGCUUAACUGGUGGCUUGCUUUCGAUACGGGCAGACUGGAGGUAUGCAGGGGAGAACGGAAUUCCUGGUGUAGCGGUGAAAUGCGUAGAUAUCGGGAGGAACACCAGUGGCGAAGGCGACUACCUGGCCUGUUCUUGACGCUGAGGCGCGAAAGCUAGGGGAGCAAACGGG